rnacentral:pre_miRNA from 1 species
GGGGGGAUGCGGGAUCCUGGGCUGUGCCCACCGGUGCCCUGGGAUCCGGGGCCUGUGCUGCUGGAAUAGUGCUCCCGGGGUGCAGCCCCCA